rnacentral:rRNA from 1 species
AUACGGAGGAUGCGAGCGUUAUCCGGAUUUAUUGGGUUUAAAGGGUGCGUAGGCUGUUUUUCAAGUCAGGGGUGAAAUGCCGGGGCUCAACUCCGGAGCUGCCUUUGAUACUGGGAGGCUGGAAUACUGUUGCCGUGGGAGGAAUGAGUAGUGUAGCGGUGAAAUGCAUAGAUAUUACUCAGAACACCGAUUGCGAAGGCAUCUCACGAAGCAGUGAUUGACGCUGAGGCACGAAAGCGUGGGGAUCAAACAGGAUUAGAUACCCUGGUAGUCCACGCAGUAAACGAUGAUAACUAACCGUUGGCGAUAGACAGCCAGUGGCCAAGCGAAAGCGAUAAGUUAUCCACCUGGGGAGUACGACCGCAAGGUUGAAACUCAAAGGAAUUGACGGGG